rnacentral:rRNA from 1 species
GACAGAGGGUGCAAACGUUGUUCGGAAUUACUGGGCGUAAAGCGCGUGUAGGCGGCUAAGUAAGUCGGGCGUGAAAUCCCACGGCUCAACCGUGGAAGUGCACUCGAAACUGCAUAGCUAGAGUCCUGGAGAGGAAGGUGGAAUGCUUGGUGUAGAGGUGAAAUUCGUAGAUAUCAAGCGGAACACCGGUGGCGAAGGCGGCCUUCUGGACAGUGACGUGACGCUGAGACGCGAAAGCGUGGGGAGCAACAGG